UUCUCUCUUCUUCUUCUCCCUUCCUUCUCCCACCUCCCUCCCCCACCAUCCCCUAGCAGGAAGAGCAGGUGCAAAAAAUUUUUUUUUUUUUUUGCCUUUUCUCUCUCCCUCUCCCUCUCCCCCUUUCCUCCCUUCUCCCUCCCUCUCCCUCCCCCGCCACCUCUCCCUCCCUCUCCCUCUUUCCUCCCUUCUCCUUACCUUCCCCCUCCCCCUCUCUCUCCCCCGCCACCCCUCCCUCCCUUUGCCAGAAGUUGCAACACCAGAAAUGGGAUUUUUUUUCCUCUCCACCUCUUCUCCCUCUCCUCUCCCCCACCACUCCUCCCUCUCUCCGUCGAAAAUUGGAACAAGAAAAACGAGAUUUUUUUUUUUUGCUUUUUCUCUCCCCCUCUCCUUCCCUUCCCCCUCCCCCGCCACAUUUUCCCUCCCUCUGGCUGCAAUCUAGUUGCGUGACCUGUUUGGAUUAUAAUUUUUUAGAUUUUUUUUUUGUAGAAAAUGCAUUGUAGGGAUUUGAUAUGUGAGGUAAAAAGAUAAUUGAAAAAUGUGUUCACAAAAAAUGUAAAUUUUUUUUUUAAAAAAAUGACUUUCCAAACAAGGUCAAAUUCGGGCCGAUUUUAGAAUAGUAGAUAACAUUUUUUCAAGACAAAGUAACGUAGAUAUAGACUCUUAAAUAGAAAUAUCUAACUGCUUAAAGUCAUGGAAGUAAAUUAAUGUAGAAGCUUUAACUAGUUUUAACGGGUGUUAUUGCUUAUCUAGUUAUCUUACUUUGUAGUUACGAGGCUAAAUCCGCACACCAUUUAACCUAGUCUAUUACUAAAACAAAAACAAAAACAAAAACCCAAGUUUCAGGCUUUUAGUCCCCGAUUCUACUUCUGCUUUUAGAUAUAAAUAGCAAGGGUGACCUAAGUAUGGCCUUUAUUCGUGUUUGCAUCUUGUCUUGUUGCCUAAAGAAGUAAAAAAGAGGAUAAAAAUGGCUUCAAAAUCUAUGGUUUCUUUUCUUUUGGUGCUUUGCAUUAUGGCAUCUUGUAAGUAUCUCUUUCUUUCCAGGAAAAUGCUAUAUAUAGUAGUUUGCCAAAACCACACCACUCAUCUUGUGUUUAUUUUUUUUCUUUUCUUUUCAGACUAAAUUAGUGUUUGUUUGUAUAAGACACCGUAUGAUACAGACAAAUUUCAGACCAAAUGUAUAAUAGUACCAUGAUUAGUUCUCACGUAUAUCAGCAAUUCUCUUUACUCUCUUUUGUUUUUUGUUUUUUUUUUGUUUUUGCUUGCAAAAAACUAAAUAAAAAGAAAUUAUGGCAGGUCUAUCAUCAGGAACUGAAGCAGUGCUUUGGCAUGCAUUUAAGGACUGGAUUUUGGGGAUUGACAGGCCCUGCGUAGUGCAGGCGGAGUGCGAUGUAUUGUGGUGUCCGUUUCUGAAAGCUCCACGCUGCGAAAUGCCUCCGAUGCGUGAUCAUCCUGGAAGGUGCAAAUGUGGACCGUGGCAUUGAUUUACCAGAAUUUGUUUGUUCUUGAAGGUGUAUGAAUAAACAAAACCCCAUGUAACUUUUCUCAAACAAAAGCGUUGAAAGAUCAAUGAUUUUCAAAUGCUGCUCUUCAUGUUCACGGUUGUGCCAAAAAUAACAAUGAAAUAAGCCUUCAAGCUACCAACUAUUUUUCAAUGAGAUAGCCUAACAUACAUACAUACAUAUAUGUGUGUGUGGUCUUACUUAUUGCAUUUCCCCUUUAAAAUGUUUUCAAUGUUUGAAAUUGAUCAUCUAAUUUUUAAGCAGUAUUGCAG
rnacentral:lncRNA from 1 species